UCUUCUUUCUCAACAAGCUUUGCAGAGUGCCCUUCCUUCUUCUCCUUCAUCCACAACAGCAACGACUUCAUUGAGCACAAACUGUUGAUUCUCAACUUGAAAUCCGCCGUUUCAGAGUGUAAUUGCAGUCUGAAAGUGAGCUUCGAAUUCUUCAAGGUCUCAGUCAGACGGGAAAUGCACCGUCUACCUUGAAACCCUUGUCGGUAAAGGAAGCUGCGAAAUUCCCACCGAUAAAAUUUCAUGCCAUCUUCACCUGAUUAGUGACAACGAAGAAGGAGCCAAAAGUAGAGUUUGCAUCCCAGUUUUACACAGGCUUUGUCAGGAGAGAUUCGCAGAGGUAGAUAACCUCUGUGACCAAAGGAGAGGGUUCCUGGCACUGGCCUUAGUACGGGCCCCCCAUCUCCAUAGCUUUGUCUACCUCUUCUUCUUCUUUAAGAUCGGUUCAAACUCAGCUUCGCAAUCCCAUCUCCACUCGAAGAGUUUUACAGGUGAAAGCUGUUUUGUUUUGCUGCAAGUGGCUUGUGUAUUGUUUAUUCAUGUUCUAUGGUUGCUUAUUUGUGGAAGUUCUGCUUGGACAAGUGCAUCCAAGAUGGCUCCUAAGGGUGAGAAUAUCCUCGAGUGGACUGAUUAGAUGGAGUUCACUUUCAUUCAUAUCAUGCUUGAGAAGUUGAAAAACGACCCACACGAUAUCUUGGAAGUAAAGGGAUUGGGAGGAGGUGAAUCUGGAGAUGGAAAGGCAAUUUCUCGAUGUCCAACUAGGCUUCCAGAAGCUCCAGCAGAAGACAACGAGAAUUAAGACUAUGUACAAGCAGUUCACUGAAUUGCUUUAUCAUAUUGGAGUCGGCUAGGAUGAAGACACCAAUACUAUCAAGGCGAGUCUCGAUUUAUGAGAUAAAUUUAUCAAGAAGAACAAGGCCUUCAAGACAUUCCGAACCAAUGGCUGCAAGAACUACAAACUGGUAAAUGAGCUUUUCAAUUCAUCAACUGCUACCGGUGCUCUACGCAUCUCCUCAACCGAUCCACAACGGACAUCUGACGAGGAUCGACAAAUACUAGAGGAAUUCCUAUCAACAUCCAAAGAACAGCAGAAGCAGCCCGUUAACCUCGAAGAAGGCUCCAACGAGAGUGAUGAUCGGGUCCAUGUGGUUGAAGAGCCGAUUAUAUGUGAGUCCCGACGUCGAGUGCAUAAAAGGCAUUUCUCGACAAACUCACAACUACAGGAGUGCAUGGACUUGUUCAAGGCCAGUUUCAAACCCAAGCCUAAGACCACCCCACCUGAGUCCAAGAGAAGCAAGUCAGUUUUCAGUCCUGAGAAACUAGAGAAAAAUAGCAUCGAUGAAGCAAUGGCAGAGUUGAAUCAACUAAAACCGACAAUCUCGAUUGACGAGUAUAUGGGAGGAAGCUUAGUUAUCAUUGAUGAUAGAGUUAGGAGGGUGUUCAUGUGCUACCUAGAAGUCAUAAGAAGGGAAUGACUAUGUCGUCUUACUAGCUCUUGAAUGACCUUGGGAUUUCUCUUUGUGUAUUGAUAUUGUUUGCGACAAUCUCAUUUCUUUCUCUUAAGUAUGACAUUCAUCGUACUGAUAUGUUUGUUAUGUGGGCUUGGAAAUUUUUAUGCUGUAUA